GUGGGGAAUAUUGCGCAAUGGGCGAAAGCCUGACGCAGCGACGCCGCGUGAGGGAUGAAGGUUUUCGGAUCGUAAACCUCUGUCAGAAAGGAAGAAACUACAUUGUGCUAAUCAGCAGUGUACUGACGGUACCUUCAAGGAAGCACCGGCUAACUCCGUGCCAGCAGCCGCGGUAAUACGGAGGGUGCCAGCGUUAAUCGGAAUUACUGGGCGUAAAGCGCACGUAGGCUGUAGUGUAAGUCAGGGGUGAAAUCCCACGGCUCAACCGUGGAACUGCCUUUGAGACUGCACAACUUGAAUCCGGGAGAGGGUGGCGGAAUUCCAGGUGUAGGAGUGAAAUCCGUAGAUAUCUGGAGGAACAUCAGUGGCGAAGGCGGCCACCUGGACCGGUAUUGACGCUGAGGUGCGAAAGCGUGGGGAGCAAACAGGAUUAGAUACCCGAGUAGUCC
rnacentral:rRNA from 1 species